AUGACCGUCUGGGUGUCUCUGGAUGUUGAGGAGAUCCUUGACUAUUGGAGAUUUGACCCUGUCAGCAGCCCUGGAGGUUUCAAUAGAGAAGCUGGAGAUCCAGAUACAGUUCUAGUCAGUAACAAGACAACAACAGCCAUGGUGAGGGAUGUUCUUGUGUUUCCUAUAGCCUCACCAAUAGAUUUCUCCAAUGGAGGAUGUGAGCCAAGAUACCUUCAGAGAAAACCUACAGGGACAAAAUGCAGUGCUUUCACAACCUUUCACAGUAUAUCCAAAGAACAGCAGCAUUCAAAGUUUAUUAAAAAGAUUGAAUUAGAUUUUUCUCAGUGUAAAAGUGAGAAUAAGUAUGAUUGUACUGCAAUGAAAGAGGAUCUUUUUUGGGCAUUUUAUUCUCAGUUUAAAUCAGACAUGAGUCAAGUUAAAACAAAUAUCCAGUUUAAAAAAGAGUCUUUCCCAAAUGCCAGUGUGGGUGUCAAAGCUGUCAAAGUUGAAUCUGAAAUAAAAGUUGAGGAUCCUAUUUGGGCGUGCUAUUUUGCUAAACAGGAAAAGGGGGUUCGUAAUGUUGAGGAACCUGUAGGUUUUCAGAUUGUGGCUACCAAGAGUCGAUCCAGAUCUGGUCCUGGCUUAUCAACUUCAAAGGAAAAUGCUGUUCAGCCGACUCUGACUGAGAGAUGUGAUCAAGAUAAAAAUGAUUACCCAAUCACACCUUCUGAGGUGUUAAAGACUCUACAGCAAAGUGGUAAAAACGCCACUGUGAACCAGAAUGUAAAACAGGGAACAGUGGAUGAGAAAAAUGAAGAUCCCAUAUGGGCUAAUUAUCAUAUGCAUGAAGGACGAAAAGAGUGGAAUCCAAAAUAUGAACAUUUGACACUUCUGCUUCCAUCACCAAUAGAAACGGAUCAGCCUUUAACCUCAGAGGAAAUGCUGUCAUUGAUUGGGAUUAGACAACCCAUCUGUAAAGUAGCAAUGCCUUCAUCCAUAGUAGAGUAUGAACAAACUAUGACCUCGGACACAGCAGGACCAUCUCAACCCAUUUCACACCAGUCCAGCAAAAAGCAAAUGCUUGAGAGAGAACCUGGUAGCCAUUCAGGCCUGGUUUCCCAAUCAAACACAUCCGAACCAUCAGUACCGAUGCCAGAUACAUGUAAAAGACAUCCAACCGCUCCAUCAAACAUUAACAAAAAAAGUCCUGCUGAUACAGUUUCAUACAUUUAUAAAUGUCUGUAA
rnacentral:lncRNA from 1 species